rnacentral:rRNA from 1 species
AGGACGAACGCUGGCGGCGUGCUUAACACAUGCAAGUCGAGCGGUAAGGCCCUUCGGGGUACACGAGCGGCGAACGGGUGAGUAACACGUGAGCAAUCUACCCAUCACAUCGGGAUAACUCCGGGAAACCGAAGCUAAUACCGAAUACGACCACUUCAGGCAUCUGACGGUGGUGGAAAGUUCUGGCGGUGAUGGAUGAGCUCGCGGCCUAUCAGCUUGUUGGUGGGGUAAUGGCCCACCAAGGCUUCGACGGGUAGCCGGCCUGAGAGGGUGACCGGCCACACUGGGACUGAGACACGGCCCAGACUCCUACGGGAGGCAGCAGUGGGGAAUAUUGGACAAUGGGCGAAAGCCUGAUCCAGCAACGCCGCGUGAGGGAUGACGGCCUUCGGGUUGUAAACCUCUUUCAGCAGGGACGAAGCGAAAGUGACGGUACCUGCAGAAGAAGCACCGGCCAACUACGUGCCAGCAGCCGC